rnacentral:tRNA from 1 species
GCUGAGGUAGCUUAGCCUGGGAGUAGUAAUCCCAAUAGCGCUGGACUGAAGAUCCAGUUGUCGUGAGUUCAACAUCAUUCUUUCUUUUGAAAAAUGAGGAAAACCUCACCCUCAGCGCCA